rnacentral:rRNA from 1 species
CCUACGGGAGGCAGCAGUGAGGAAUAUUGGUCAAUGGACGAGAGUCUGAACAAGCAAAGUAGCGUGAAGGAUGAAUGCCCUAUGGGUUGAAAACUUCUUUUAUAUGGGAAUAAAACGUUCAAAGUGUGGGUUUUUGUAUGUACCAUAUGAAUAAGGAUCGGCUAACCCCGUGCCAGCAGCCGCGGUAAUACGGAGGAUCCGAGCGUUAUCCGGAUUGAUUGGGUUUAAAGGGAGCGUAGGUGGAUUUUUAAGUCAGUUGUGAAAGUUAGCGGCUCAACCGUAAAAUUGCAGUUGAAACUGGCUGUCUUGAGUACAGUAGAGGUGGGCGGAAUUCGUGGUGUAGCGGUGACAUGCUUAGAUAUCACGAAGAACUCCGAUUGCGAAGGCAGUUCACUGGUCUGCAACUGACACUGAGGCUCGAAAGUGUGGGUAUCAAACAGGAUUAGAUACCCUAGUAGUC